AUUGAACGCUGGCGGAAUGCUUUACACAUGCAAGUCGAGCGGCAGCGCGGUCUUCGGACUGGCGGCGAGCGGCGAACGGGUGAGUAAUACAUCGGAACAUGCCCAGUCGUGGGGGAUAACACUUCGAAAGAAGUGCUAAUACCGCAUACGUCCUGAGGGAGAAAGCGGGGGAUCGCAAGACCUCGCGCGAUUGGAGUGGCCGAUGUCAGAUUAGCUAGUUGGUGGGGUAAAGGCCUACCAAGGCAACGAUCUGUAGCUGGUCUGAGAGGAUGAUCAGCCACACUGGGACUGAGACACGGCCCAGACCCCUACGGGAGGCAGCAGUGGGGAAUUUUGGACAAUGGGGGCAACCCUGAUCCAGCCGUUCCGCGUGAGUGAAGAAGGCCUUCGGGUUGUAAAGCUCUUUCGGCAGGAACGAAACGGCGAGCUCUAACAUAGCUCGCUAAUGACGGUACCUGAAGAAGAAGCACCGGCUAACUACGUGCCAGCAGCCGCCGUAACAC
rnacentral:rRNA from 1 species